UCUUUCUUUCCCCUAUUUCCACUUUAAAAUCCAUUAAUCACUUUAAAAUCUUUUCAAAAAAAAAAAAAGCAGCAACCACAACAACCGUAGAAAAAAAAAAUCAAACAUACCGAGAAAAAACAUAGAAAUAUAAAUUCUCAUCAUCAUCAGUAACAACAACUACAACAGCAGCAAUACAUCACAGAUAACUUCUCCCAAUUCAAAAAAAAAAAAACCGGAAAAACUAUUUCUACAAAUUCUCAUCAUCAUCAACACAUCAACAACAACAGCAACAACACAGAUUCAACAACAAGCAAACCAAAUUCAACCCUUUUUUGCUUCCUUUCAUCAUCAUCAUCAUGAAUUAAAAAAAACAGAGAAAAGAAGAAGAAAUGAGGAACAGAUUGAAAGAGAGAGAGAAUAGAGAGUUGUUGUUCUUCCUCGAUUCCAAAUUCAAUUUCACAUUUUAAUAAAUAACUGAUUUUGCUCUUUGGUUUGAUUUAAAACAUUUAAAAAUUAGAUUUAGGAUGUUGAGAGUUUGGAGGUGGAAGUGGAACUUGGAAAGGUAGAGGUGUUGUUGUUUGGACUGAAGCGAAGGGAUUGUUGGAUUGGGUUGAAGUUGUGGUUAUGGUGGCAGUGGAUGUCAUUGGUGAUGUUACGGAGAAAGAAGAAGAAAGGUUGUGUAGCGUCCGUUUCUCAGUGUGAGAGAUAGAGCUGAUAAGUGGGAUUGGAGAGCGACAAAGAAGAAAUGGAUCUGUUGAGAUUUGCAGGUUUCAAGUGGUCUUGUCGGUAGAGACACUUGGGUUCUUCAUGCUUGAAAACAGCUUUUAUGCUUGCUGUAUUAUUCAGGGAGUUGUUGGCACUUGGAUUUGAUACCGUGUUAGCGGUCGAUCCAUUUGCCGAACUUUAAACCCUAAUUGU
rnacentral:lncRNA from 1 species